UGGAUACCACUUGGAAACAGGUGCUAAUACCGGAUAAGAAAGCGGAUCGCAUGAUCAGCUUUUAAAAGGCGGCGUAAGCUGUCGCUAUGGGAUGGCCCCGCGGUGCAUUAGCUAGUUGGUAAGGUAAAGGCUUACCAAGGCGAUGAUGCAUAGCCGAGUUGAGAGACUGAUCGGCCACAUUGGGACUGAGACACGGCCCAAACUCCUACGGGAGGCAGCAGUU
rnacentral:rRNA from 1 species